AGCUCCAAUAGCGUAUAUUAAAGUUGUUGUGGUUAAAAAGCUCGUAGUUGGAUCUCAACAGCCUUGAAGCGGUUAACUUUGUAGUUUUACUGCUUUGUAGGCUGUGCUUUUGCUGGAGGUUUAGGGGUGCUCUUGAUCGAGUGUCUCUGGAUGCCAGCAGGUUUACUUUGAAAAAAUUAGAGUGCUCAAAGCAGGCUUUUCACGCUUGAAUAUUCGUGCAUGGAAUAAUGGAAUAGGAACUCGUUUCUAUUUUGUUGGUUUUCGGAAAUCGAGUUAAUGAUUAACAGGGACAAUUGGGGGCAUUAGUAUUCAGACGACAGAGGUGAAAUACUUGGACCGUCUGAAGACUGACUACUGCGAAAGCAUUUGCCAAGAGUGUGU
rnacentral:rRNA from 1 species